CCCAUGCGGGGAAGGAUGAGAAGCUUCGACUAAGGUUCGGCUCGAGCGUCAGCGAGAGAGCGUUGCCGCAGGCAACGACCCGAAGGGCGAAGCGCGCAGCGCUGAGUAAUCCUUCCCCCACCACCA
rnacentral:sRNA from 1 species